ensembl:snoRNA SNORD58 Small nucleolar RNA SNORD58
CUGCCAUGAUGACAUCUUAGGACACCUUUGGAUUCACCAUGAAAACAACACGUUAGUCUGAGCAGA